UCAGUUACUUCAGCAGAUACUGCCGCUAGAGAGGAAAGCGGUUUCAGUACCGCCAAAAAUUGAGAGCGAUGGUGCAGUGGAGGAGCAUAGCAAAGGAAGCACUGGAUCGAACAAUGAUCGUCACAAAGUUCCUCUGCUGGCUUCACGUCACCAAUACUUACAUCUGUGCACCAACACUCGGAUACGGUCCGAGUAUGCUUCCGACCUUGAACAUGAGCGGUGAUGUGCUAUUGGGCGAACACAUAUCGGUGAUGUUGGGGAAAGUUGGACGGGGAGAUGUGGUCCUGGUCCGAUCGCCUCUAAACCCUAGAAAGACCGUGACCAAACGCAUUGUGGGUAUGGAAGGUGAUAGGGUUACUUUCCUCAUGGACCCCAGGAACAAUGACAGAUUUCAGACUCUGGUGGUGCCAAAGGGUCACGUUUGGAUUCAGGGGGAUAACACCUAUGCCUCUACAGAUUCAAGGCAUUUUGGGCCUGUUCCUUAUGGCCUUAUUCAGGGAAAAGUGUUUUGCCGGGUAUGGCCUCCUGAUGGCUUUGGAUCAUUGGGACAAUGAGCAUAACAAAAACGAUUUCCAAAGGACGAUACGACCUCAUCACAGAGUUUUGUCUCUAUGCAUCAGCCAGUAUGGAUUUUCAUUUAUAACUUGCUAUCCCAGAAUAAAUGCGUGUUAGAGAGAAAAAAUGUUGCCGUUAGAGAGAGCUACCUCCUGCCUCAUAGCCUUGGUUGCAUUGGACUGAAUUUGCAAACAAGAUGUGUUCUUUCUGGGAACUAUUGGAGGUGAAGAAUGAGGCUUAAUAUUUUUUUUGCCUUCUCAAUUCUUGGUAAGAAAAUGUGAUGAGGAGCGCUGAUUUUAUGUAGCAUCUUGCCUAUACUCAAUGGAUGGCACAAUGUCAUUGAGAGGUUGGGGGAUCUGGAUUUUGCUUCUUUUGUCACCAUGGAUGUCUUUUCCAUGUCUCUAUGCCGUAGCCAGAAAGGAUUUCCAUUGAUAACUUGCUCUCUCAGUAAUCAAGUGGAAAAUUUUAAGGCUGGGGCUUUGGCAAUUGAAUUCACGUGCAUGCUUGAAAAGUCCAAGUUCAAGUAAUGCUACUGAAAAUGAAGCUUAGUACCAAAAGUCUGAAAGUACCAAGUCUCGGGAUGGAGAAAUUCUUACAUGGUCCUGGCCAAUCACAACUCACGCAAGCAAAAAUCUUAAUGAAGCUUAGAGUCAUGUCAAUACUUACCAUACUUCCUGACUGAUUGAUGGUAGAAUGGUAGUGCAUGGGAUGGAAUAUGAUCCGACAAGUUGAUGGAUGUACUUCUUGCUUCUUUCACCAUUGUGUAAAUUUCUUUGGAGUCUCCAUAGAAAAGCCGGUAUGGAUUUCCCCUGAGACCUUGCUGUCUCAUCAGUCUCUCUAACUUCUUUGGCGUCAACCACAACCAGUUCAGAACUCUCCCUGCGCAUGAUAGAAAGGCAACCAAGACAAAGGAGAUCACUAUUGAGUUAAGUGUUACUUCCAUUUUCAAUGGCAAAAGUUUUUUUGCAAUAGUUUCUGUGAUCUUGUUGAUGGUAAAGAAGAUUAUUCAGGAGGGAGCCUAGAAUACUUAUUUAUAGCCUUUUUGGUGGAAUUUUUCAAAGGGAUUAGGACUCACUAGGUGACAAGCCUUCAGCUAGUGUUUUCUUAAGCUUUUUGUUGAAUUGUUAUAUUGUUAAUCUAUUGUACACUUGACUAAUCAGGCUCCAAUCAUUUUGGAGAAGGCACCAAUUAUUGCACUUUACGUGUUGCCAUAUUAUAGGUGGUGAUUAAGUAAGGCUUAUCAUAUUUCAAAUUUAGUUGGCUUUCUUAUUGAUAAAGCUAUAACACGAAGUAAGGCUUAUUAUUUUUCAAAUUUAGUUAACAUUCUUAUUGAUAAACAAAAAUAUUAUGGUACCAACUAUAACGUGUGGAAAUAUUGCUACUAAAAUAUCUCAUCAUGUUUAGCACCAUCCAAUAUAUAUAUUAACUUCAUCAAAGAAUCAAUACCCAAGCCCUUGAUUUUGGUACUCUUGAACUUGAUGUAAUCUAGUAGAUACGAUUCUUGAAUUUUUAUUUUUAUUUUUAUUUUAAUAUCUUUAUUCCUUAGGAUUGUGUGUUCUUGUUUAUUUUUUGUGAUUAGAUCUAUAUAAUUAUGCAAUUUCAGGUGCUCAACAUUUAUUUUUUUAUUGCAAGGACUACAUGAAAAUUUGCUAAAAAUAAGGACAUAAUUUAGUAGCACUAUGUUCCAUGUUCAUUCGAAAUCCUCUUU